ensembl:miRNA
CUUGGAAACUGUGACUUCAAGGGAAAUGACGCACAGCAGGCCCUGGAAUCACGCCGUUUUGCUUGAAGUCGCAGUUUCCCAGG